CAGUUAUAAUUCUCACAAAAGCUUGAUGAUGUGAGUUAUUUUAUCAUUUGCAUUUUACAGAUGAGGAAACAGGUUUGGAGAAGAUAAAUACCUUGCCCAAAAAUGUAGCAUGUCCAAUCCUCUUUCCUCAGCUAGAGGCUGGGAUGAAGCUGGCCAAGGGAGUGUCUUCUCCCUAAAGUUGCAAGUAUUUCAGAAUCAGGAGCCCUGCAGAGUCCUGAGUUAAAGAUUAACCAUGGAAAGAAUAAAAUCAAAUGGAAAAAUGUAGCAACACGGCUGUCUACAAAACAGAAAAGAAAUCUUAAAGGUAUUUUAAGAGGUCACAACCAUCUUUGGAGCAUGCCCAGGAGAGAAGGAGGUGGAUCUAGUUCCUCCUGGAAUGGCUUUGGUGAUGCCCUUUGCUGCGGACAGACUACAUUCCGCUCCAACACCCCUUCCUCCUGUUUUUUUUUCUUUGCCUCCCCUCCUCUCCCACAUCUCUAUUCCUCCCAGCCUUUCUUCACUCCUCUGUAUGCCCAUCAUUCUCCUCCACCUCCAAGGUCACAGGCAUCACCAUGUAAGCCUCCCAUCCCAGAAAACCAGCCUCCAAGAUAACCCCAUGAUCCCCACCUCCUUGUGUGUACGUCCUUGUGUAGGACCCUCCUGCAUUCAGCGGGGCUGAGCUGUGUUAGCACUGGGAUAUAUGGCAAUGACAAGGCGGCAUGUGACUUCCAAAGUUAAGGUCACUUUGCUCUCUCGGAUCACUAAGCCAGUUGUCAUGUUGUGAGGAGGCUCAAGUUGUCCUGUGGUGGGUCCCUGUGACAAGGAACUGAGCUCUCCUGCUGACAGCCAGCAGUGCCUUCCCAACCAUUAGAGUGAGUCACCCUAGAAGCAAAUUCUCCAGCUCCAGUGCAUCCUUUAGAUAACUGCCACUCUGGUCACCAUCUUGUCUACGAUCUCAUGAGAAACCUCAGCCAGAACCACCCAGCUAAGUUGCCUCUGAAUUCCUGAGCCACAGAAACUAGGAGAUAAUAAAUGUUUACUGUUUAAGACUCUAAAUUUGGAGUAAUUUGCUAUUCGGCCAUAGAAACUAACACUCAUUUCAUCGUACCUGACACUGCUA
rnacentral:lncRNA from 1 species